AUUGCGAUCGCUGCUUACUGCACACUGACGUGCUUUUAGGACUUGCUGACAGGAGGUCAGGGGAUGCUUUCACUGGCAUGCAUGGAGGAGACAGAACGUGUGAAGCUUGUAAAUCCCAGUUUUGAACGUCGGGAACAACCCUUUUUACUUGUUACUUUGGAACGUUGGAGCCAUGCUGCAAGGUGCUUACUGAUAAGGGGGUGUGUGAUUUAACUCAGAGGAUGCUAGCAACUGCAGUGAUUGAGGAGACGUCGAGUAUGAAGAUUGAGGAAACUCAGAGCCAACCAAAGCCCAGCCCGAUCGGAAGCAAGCCGAGACCAUCUCCAAAGACGGUUCAGAGAGACAACCCACAGAACACUACAAACGAAGUUCACUCUAAUCUGUACAACACAGGUAAAAAAAAAAAAAAAAAA